UCUCCGUUGGUGAACCAGCGGAGGGAUCAUUACCGAAGUUACCUUCAAAACCCACUGUGAACCUUACCUCUUGCCGCGUUGUCCCGGCGGGAGGCGGUGUGCGUCGCGCGCCCUAGCGGGCCGCGCCGCUCCCGUCCCCGCCGGCAGCGCCAAACUCUAAAUGCACAGCGGACUGUACGUUCUGAUUUACAAAAAAAACAAGUUAAAACUUUCAACAACGGAUCUCUUGGUUCUG
rnacentral:misc_RNA from 1 species